UGGGGAAUAUUGGACAAUGGGCGAAAGCCUGAUCCAGCCAUGCCGCGUGUGUGAAGAAGGUCUUCGGAUUGUAAAGCACUUUAAGUUGGGAGGAAGGGCAGUAAGUUAAUACCUUGCUGUUUUGACGUUACCGACAGAAUAAGCACCGGCUAACUCUGUGCCAGCAGCCGCGGUAAUACAGAGGGUGCAAGCGUUAAUCGGAAUUACUGGGCGUAAAGCGCGCGUAGGUGGUUUGUUAAGUUGGAUGUGAAAGCCCCGGGCUCAACCUGGGAACUGCAUCCAAAACUGGCAAGCUAGAGUACGGUAGAGGGUGGUGGAAUUUCCUGUGUAGCGGUGAAAUGCGUAGAUAUAGGAAGGAACACCAGUGGCGAAGGCGACCACCUGGACUGAUACUGACACUGAGGUGCGAAAGCGUGGGGAGCAAACAGGAUUAGAUACCCAAGUAGUCCCUGAGCGGGCUGGCAAGGCGCAU
rnacentral:rRNA from 1 species